GAUGAACGCUGGCGGCGUGCCUAAUACAUGCAAGUCGAGCGAACGGACGAGAAGCUUGCUUCUCUGAUGUUAGCGGCGGACGGGUGAGUAACACGUGGAUAACCUACCUAUAAGACUGGGAUAACUUCGGGAAACCGGAGCUAAUACCGGAUAAUAUUUUGAACCGCAUGGUUCAAAAGUGAAAGACGGUCUUGCUGUCACUUAUAGAUGGAUCCGCGCUGCAUUAGAUAGUUGGUAAGGUAACGGCUUACCAAGGCAACGAUGCAUAGCCGACCUGAGAGGGUGAUCGGCCACACUGGAACUGAGACACGGUCCAGACUCCUACGGGAGGCAGCAGUAGGGAAUCUUCCGCAAUGGGCGAAAGCCUGACGGAGCAACGCCGCGUGAGUGAUGAAGGUCUUCGGAUCGUAAAACUCUGUUAUUAGGGAAGAACAUAUGUGUAAGUAACUGUGCACAUCCUGACGGUACCUAAUCAGAAAGCCACGGCUAACUACGUG
rnacentral:rRNA from 1 species